CAUGAUAACUCAAGUAAUCUAAGUAUUAUGUCAAAAUAUCAGCCUCUUAUUAGAAAUCAGAGUCUUACCCAAACUGUCAGUUUUCCCAGCUUUCAUUUAUAGAUUAAAGGUGACUAUAAUUACUGAACUUUAAAAAAAAGAGAGUCGUGGUAUCUCCAUUAAAGAUAUGUUGCUCAUUUAUUCUGGAUCUUAUAUUGAUAGGUAAUACCAGAAGAUUUCAGUAUAGCCGAUAAAAUACAGCAGAUCCUAACCAACACAGGUUUUAGUGACAAACGGGCACGUUCCAUGGACAUAGAUGAUUUUAUCAGGUUGCUACACGGAUUUAAUGCAGAAGGUAUCCACUUCUCCUAGCCAUCUGAAAACUAUUUUUUCAAGACCAAGAAAAAAAUGAAGUUACACAAUCCUAAUAUUUGAGAAUACCACUGAUUUUGUUCUAUAGGACAUCAUUUACUUUUUAAAUUAUUUAAUAAUAACUUUUAUACCAUUGAUUAUCCUGUAUGUGAAAGGUGGUUGUUUUUUUUUUAUAAAUAUAUAUUUUCUCUAGUGUUUUAAAUAUACUGCAAAGGGCAGGGUUCAAUAUAAUGGUCUUCAAGUUUGAAAGUCGCGGACAUGCACAACCAUAUACUUAAGCUUUGUAACGAUUUAUUGUAUGAAGACAUUACUUUUAUUCACCAUGUUUUAGACCGUGAGGCUCACUGAGGCCUACAGCUCACUCAACUAGUCAAAAAGCUGUCGUCCUCCUCAUUCACAUACUGUAAGGAGCUUAAGGUGGCUUCUCUUCACACCAUUCCUAUGUGUUAAUGCUUGCCUGCUGCAUCACGAACAACACAAUUCUGGGAGCUAGAGUCUGCUGCACUGACAGGGCAGGCAUGUUCUGCAUAUGACAAUACCUGUGAAAUGCAGAAGCGGAGAAAAAACCAACUCCUGUGUGGUAAAUCACAUUUUCUUAAGGGAGACAGGAUCUACAAUUUCAAAUUUAGAGGAAUUCUGGAAGGUUUUGUCAAUCAAACAGCUUGUAUAAUAAUUUAUUUAAUUCCUUUAUCGAAUGAGAGCUUUUUCUUUUUUUUUUUUUUUUGGAGCUGGGGACCGAACCCAGGGCCUUGCGCUUGCCAGGCAAGCACUCUACCUCUGAGCUAAAUCCCCAACCUCUAAGAGGUCUUUUUGAGGUCAACUCUAAUCUCAGAAUCUUGCCUCAGCCCCCUAAAUAAAUUCUGGGUUGCACUUGUACAUUGCAAAGUAAGUUUUCCAGUUUCAGCUUUUUAAAAGAACAGACUACAACUACAGGCUCCUGGUUCCCUGACUUCUAGAUAACUAAAGUUCCACUACCUAGUGUUUCUUUUUAAGCUACUUAAAAUUCGUCAGAAGAUAAAUGCUGUUCAUAUAUUUUAAUAAAUUAGCUGUUUUAUUUAUAUAAGGAAACUAGCUUCAUUGGAUAUUUGGCUCUCUUUAUACCUAAAACUUAAAAGGAAUAUGUCCAAUUAGUUUAGAAAGAUUGCUAAGUAAACUUAAGAAUACAAAUAGUUUGCCUACAGUUUUUCCUCCAAAAUUCAGCUUCAAAGUCAUAGUGAACACUUAUGUUAGCUAUGAAUAGUUAGCAGCCUUUAAGUUUGAGAAGUUUCUAAAGAAUAAUGUACAACAGAAAAAUUUCACUUAGCUGCAGAAGCAGCUUUUGUCACAUGAGUAGUAACUGUCCUUGAAGUGCAUGUUUAUCGUCAGCGUCGAACAACAGCUUUGCAGAGUUAGCUCUUACCACUUCUACCUUAGGGAGACGUUUCUGCUUGGCCAGGCUUUCUCAGCUAGUUUUCUGCUGACUAAAGCUUCCCUCUGUAAAGCUGAGGCUCAUCUUACCUCCCAGAAUGUUUACUGACUACAGAUCAGGACGGAGCCAAUAAGGCAACAUAUCCCUAUUAGGACCUUCAAAGACAAUGCCUGUCCAAUGCCAAUAACAUUAAACUAUUUUGCAAGUUAUAAGCAA
rnacentral:lncRNA from 1 species